rnacentral:rRNA from 1 species
UACAGAGGGGGCUAGCGUUGCUCGGAAUCACUGGGCGUAAAGCGCACGUAGGCGGAUUGUUAAGUCAGGGGUGAAAUCCUGGAGCUCAACUCCAGAACUGCCUUUGAUACUGGCGAUCUCGAGUCCGGGAGAGGUGAGUGGAACUGCGAGUGUAGAGGUGAAAUUCGUAGAUAUUCGCAAGAACACCGGUGGCGAAGGCGGCCUGCUGGGCAGUUGCUGACACUGAGGCGCGACAGCGUGGGGAGCAAACAGG